UGCCCCCUGGCAAUGGGCGAGGAGACACCUUGUUGGUGGUGUUGUUCAUACAUUAGACAGGGGCAGAACAGUUGGCAGUCCUUUGUUCAUCCUAGCUUGAUGCCUGGCUUGAUGGCCAAAACUGUUUUAUGCCCAGAGCACAUAA